rnacentral:rRNA from 1 species
UACACACCGCCCGUCACAUCGCGAAAGUCGGUUGCACUAGAAGUCGGUGGGCUAACCCGCAAGGGAGGCAGCCGCCUAAAGUGUGAUCGGUAAUUGGGGUG